rnacentral:lncRNA from 8 species
AUGGUUACCAUUACCUCUGUACAACAUGAUGAAAUGUUUAUACAAACACACACGUUUCCUAUUCCUCAACCCACAUGUUGGUAUUCAGAGCAAUCUGGCAUGCUGUUUUUAACACACUCUUCAUCUCUCUCUGUCUCUCUCUCUCUCUCCACCUCUCGCUCUCGCCACCGCUCCACCUCUCUCUUUCUCUCUCCACCUCUCUCUGUCUCUCCACCUCUCUCUGUCUCUCCACCUCUCUCCUCCACCUAUCUCUCCACCUCUCUCUCUCUACCUCUCUCCAUCUCUCGCUCUCUCUCUCUCCACCUCUCUAUCUCUCUCUCUCUCUCUCUCUCUCUCUCUCUCUCUGUCUCUCUCUCCACCGCUCUCUCUCUCUCCACCUCUAUCUCUGCCUCUCUCCAUCUCUCUCUCUCUCUCCACCUCUCUCUCCACCUCGCUCUCUCCAUCUCUCACUCUCUCGCUCUCUCUCUCUCUCUUUCUCCACCUCUCUCUCUCCACCUCUCUCUCUCUGUCUGUCUCUCUCUCUCUCUCUCGCCUCUCUCUCUCUUUCUCCAACUCUCUCUCUCUUUCUCCACCUCUCUCUCCACCUCGCUUUCUCUCUCUCCAUCUCUCACUCUCUCUCUCUCUCUGUCUCGCUCUUUCUCUCUCUCUUUCUCCACCUCUCUCUCUCCACCUCUCUCUCUCCAACUUUCUCUGUCUCUCUCUGUCUGUCUCUCUCUGUCUCUCUCUCUCUUUCUCCAACUCUCUCUCUCUUUCUCCACCUCUCUCUCUCUUUCUUUCUACCUGUCUCUCCACUCUUCUCUCUACCUCUCUCUCCAUCCCUCUCGCUCUCUCGCUCUCCACCUCUCUUUCUCUCUACCUGUCUCUGUCUCUCUCUCUCGCUCUCUCUCCACCACUCUUGCUCUCUCUGUCCACCACUCUCACUCUCUCUCUCUCCGCUUCUCUACCUCUCUCUCUCUACCUCUCUCUCUCACUCUCACUCUCUCUCUCUACUUGUCUCUCCACACUUCUCUCUACCUCUCUCUCCACCCCUCUCGCUCUCUCUCUGUCCAUCCUUCUCUAGUUGAAAGCCAAGAGGAGUGA